rnacentral:rRNA from 1 species
CAUCUGGAAAGAUGAAUCAAAGAAGGUAAUAAUCCUGUAGUCGAAAAUGUUGUCUCUCUUGAGUGGAUCCUGAGUACGACGGAGCACGUGAAAUUCCGUCGGAAUCUGGGAGGACCAUCUCCUAAGGCUAAAUACUCUCUAGUGACCGAUAGUGAACCAGUACCGUGAGGGAAAGGUGAAAAGCACCCCGGAAGGGGAGUGAAACAGAACCUGAAACCGUGUGCUUACAAGUAGUCAGAGCCCGUUAAUGGGUGAUGGCGUGCCUUUUGUAGAAUGAACCGGCGAGUUACGAUUUGAUGCAAG